rnacentral:lncRNA from 1 species
AUGCAAACUAGUUUCAGCGGCAGCCGCAGGGCGGGUGUAUUACUGGGUGAGUCACAGCUCCCCUCCUCCUUCUUUCCAGAACAACCUGGAGGCACCUCGGAUUCGGCAGAGGGCUGCACCUCUGUGAGCCCGGAUGGGCAGGCGGCGCCUGCCUGGCAGCGCCCUCAGGAAGUUGCUCAACGGGGCGUUCAGAGCCGCCCAAGCACGUCCGCCCGCCCGGGCGCCCUCCCCACUCGGUGCCACCUUGCGUGGCCCACCCUGGCGGGCGGUCACCGGGCGGGAAGCGCCACGUGCUCCCUACGGCAUGGUGGCUUUCGAGCGAGCGGGGUUCUAGGGCUGGCUUCUGGGGGCGCAGGCCGUGGCUCCAGGUGUGCAGCGGGAACGUGGCUUCCAGAGGGGAGCGGCUGGGGGAGAAUCGGGGUGCGGCCUCGCGGGUGGCCUCUGCCCUGGCGGGGGUCCCUGCCCUCCCGGCUCCAAGGCCUGUGCUCAUUCCGUGAAAGACUGGAUUUGGAGUGGAAGACAGCACUGGCAUCCAGUUGCCCUGCCUCCCCGGAACGUUCCCUGUGCCCGUGUUUUGUAUGGCGCGCCCUGGUUAACCUUCCUAAAACCGGCAGCUGGGCUGUCUCGGGUGCUGUGCCGUUCUCCGGUGCUCAGAGCUGGAACGUGUCGGCUUGGCGGGCCGCGCUCCCCGCCAUGACGGCUUCUACGGCCAGAUCCCUCUCCUCGUGUUCUGGAACUUCCCAGGGUCCAUGCAGCCCGGGGGGCCUUGAGGACAGGGCUCUCGUCCUCCCACCUCUGCCUGGUGUCCAGCAGAGCUGUCCAGGGAGCGGCCUCGCCCACCCUUGUCUGGCCCCCUGGCCCCGAGUUCUACCGUUGGGGGCUCCCUCUGCCCUCCUGAAAUCCAGGCCAGCUGUUUCCCGGAUUGUGGGACACCUGACGUGCUGUGAACAGAGACUUCUGGGACCAAGCGAGAGGGCUGGCACCCCCCCCCACCCCCCCGUAGUCAGCGCCCCGUUCCUGAGGCGUGGACUCUGGUGGGACUGCACAGGCCAGCUGUUUGGCCUUGCGGAAACCCGUUUGUAUCCCAAAUGGACUUGGCCAUGA